AAAUUGAAGAGUUUGAUCAUGGCUCAGAUUGAACGCUGGCGGCAGGCCUAACACAUGCAAGUCGAACGGUAACAGGAAGCAGCUUGCUGCUUUGCUGACGAGUGGCGGACGGGUGAGUAAUGUCUGGGAAACUGCCUGAUGGAGGGGGAUAACUACUGGAAACGGUAGCUAAUACCGCAUAACGUCGCAAGACCAAAGAGGGGGACCUUAGGGCCUCUUGCCAUCGGAUGUGCCCAGAUGGGAUUAGCUGGUAGGUGGGGUAACGGCUCACCUAGGCGACGAUCCCUAGCUGGUCUGAGAGGAUGACCAGCCACACUGGAACUGAGACACGGUCCAGACUCCUACGGGAGGCAGCAGUGGGGAAUAUUGCACAAUGGGCGCAAGCCUGAUGCAGCCAUGCCGCGUGUAUGAAGAAGGCCUUCGGGUUGUAAAGUACUUUCAGCGGGGAGGAAGGGAGUAAAGUUAAUACCUUUGCUCAUUGACGUUACCCGCAGAAGAAGCACCGGCUAACUCCGUGCCAGCAGCCGCGGUAAUACGGAGGGUGCAAGCGUUAAUCGGAAUUACUGGGCGUAAAGCGCACGCAGGCGGUUUGUUAAGUCAGAUGUGAAAUCCCCGGGCUCAACCUGGGAACUGCAUCUGAUACUGGCAAGCUUGAGUCUCGUAGAGGGGGGUAGAAUUCCAGGUGUAGCGGUGAAAUGCGUAGAGAUCUGGAGGAAUACCGGUGGCGAAGGCGGCCCCCUGGACGAAGACUGACGCUCAGGUGCGAAAGCGUGGGGAGCAAACAGGAUUAGAUACCCUGGUAGUCCACGCCGUAAACGAUGUCGACUUGGAGGUUGUGCCCUUGAGGCGUGGCUUCCGGAGCUAACGCGUUAAGUCGACCGCCUGGGGAGUACGGCCGCAAGGUUAAAACUCAAAUGAAUUGACGGGGGCCCGCACAAGCGGUGGAGCAUGUGGUUUAAUUCGAUGCAACGCGAAGAACCUUACCUGGUCUUGACAUCCACGGAAGUUUUCAGAGAUGAGAAUGUGCCUUCGGGAACCGUGAGACAGGUGCUGCAUGGCUGUCGUCAGCUCGUGUUGUGAAAUGUUGGGUUAAGUCCCGCAACGAGCGCAACCCUUAUCCUUUGUUGCCAGCGGUCCGGCCGGGAACUCAAAGGAGACUGCCAGUGAUAAACUGGAGGAAGGUGGGGAUGACGUCAAGUCAUCAUGGCCCUUACGACCAGGGCUACACACGUGCUACAAUGGCGCAUACAAAGAGAAGCGACCUCGCGAGAGCAAGCGGACCUCAUAAAGUGCGUCGUAGUCCGGAUUGGAGUCUGCAACUCGACUCCAUGAAGUCGGAAUCGCUAGUAAUCGUGGAUCAGAAUGCCACGGUGAAUACGUUCCCGGGCCUUGUACACACCGCCCGUCACACCAUGGGAGUGGGUUGCAAAAGAAGUAGGUAGCUUAACCUUCGGGAGGGCGCUUACCACUUUGUGAUUCAUGACUGGGGUGAAGUCGUAACAAGGUAACCGUAGGGGAACCUGCGGUUGGAUCACCUCCUU
rnacentral:rRNA from 1 species